rnacentral:lncRNA from 1 species
UCUGGAUCAAACGAACGCAACAACAAGCGGUAAAUUCGGAGAAGUUUCUCGAAGAUAAAGAACAGUUAAAUUUACAAUUGAAUGCAGAAGGUGUCUGGGAAUGUCGUGGCAGAAUCCAAGGGCAGUACCCGAUCUAUUUACCAGAUUGCACCUUAUUUACGACCAAAGUUGUUCAAAGAGCCCAUGUUUGCACGUUACAUGGUGGCGUAGGUCUGGUCAUGGCGAACGUUCGGGAAAGAUACUGGAUACCCCGUCUGCGUAAACUUGCGAAGAAGGUCAUCAUCGAUUGUUGGGGAUGUAAGAAAUUUAGGACCGCCCCAGCAAAAUCUCCACCACCUGGUCUCUUACCAAAAACGCGAACCGAGAAAUCUACUCCAUUCGACAUCAUUGGCGUCGACUUCGCCGGACCAGUGAAGUAUCGUAGUAAAGGGAAAGAGAGGAAGUCGUACAUAGUUCUAUACUCGUGCAGUUUAACUCGGGCGGUGUUGUUAGACUUGCUACCUGGCCUCGAAACGAAGGAAUUCAUCAAAAGCUUGAAACGGACGAUCGCAAGAAGGGGGAGACCUUCGUUGAUUUAUUCAGAUAAUGGGUCCACGUUCGUUGCGGCGGCGAAGUGGCUAAAAUCCGUACGCAAAGACGAAGAGUUAAACGAUCUUCUCCGCAACCAUUCGAUAUCAUGGCGGUUUAAUCUUAGCAGGGCCCCCUGGUGGGGGGGGGGGGGCAGUUCGAGGGGUUGAUCGGGGUAAUGAAAGCGGCAUUCUACAAAACGGUCGGAAGUGGAGUUCUUACAUGGGACGAACUUAGCGAAGUGCUCCUGGACAUAGAAAUCGCAAUCAAUAAUCGACCCCUGUCUUAUAUGGAAGAGGACGAACAAUUACCCACCCUUACUCCAAAUUCUAUGUUAUUUCUGAAUCCUAAUUACCUACCAGAAUUAAAGCCGUAUCAUCACGAAGAACCGAAUUUGAGGAAACGUGCAAAGUUCUUAAGGAGAAUCAAGGACGAAGGUCCCUCCGCGAACGCCAUCGGUUGAAACACAAAUCUCAAGGCCACGUCAUUGCAGUAGGUGAUGUCGUAUUGGUAAAGUCGACGGAACGAAAUCGAAACAAAUGGCCUUUGGGAAUAGUAGAAACGCUGAUUGUCGGCAAAGACGGUGCAGUUCGAGCAGCUAGACUGAGAAGCGGUCGUGAUCGAUUGGAACGCGCGGUACAACAUUUAUAUCCUCUAGAAUUAAAUUGUGACCUCUACAAGGAAAAAGACGGGGAGAAUAAGAAACCUGCGGAACUAAAUCCAGAAGCACCCAAGUUCAAGCCGAAGCGACGAGCGGCAGUUGAAGC